UCAUAGCGUACAGGUGAGUAAUACGCAAGAAUUUGCCCUAAAAUCUUGGGAUAACCAUAUUUAUUUUAUAAAGAAUGUUCUGCAUUGGUAAUACCGGAUAUAUUGAAAGGCAUAAUGCCGUUUUAGGAUAAGCUUGUGCAAGAUUAGGUUGUUGGUAGGGUAAAAGCCUACCAAGCCGAUGAUCUUUAGCUGUUCUGAGAGGAUGACCAGCCACACCGGGACUGAGAUAAGGCCCAGGCUUUUUAGCCAGCAGUGAGGAAUAUUGGACAAUGAACGAAAGUUUGAUCCAGUAAUGCUGCGUGAAUGAUGAUAGGCACAAAAGAUUUUUAAGAAAUUAUUAAUCGGCUGUAAAAUUCUUUCACUGAUGAAGAUAAUGACGUUAGUCAGAGAAGAAGUCCCGGCUAACUUCGUGCCAGCAGCCGCGGUAAUACGAAGGGGGCAAGCGUUAUCCGGAAUUAUUGGGCGUAAAGUGUUCGUAGACGGUAUUUGUUGUUUUACGUAA
rnacentral:rRNA from 1 species